rnacentral:snRNA from 1 species
AUCGCUCCUUGGCCUUUUGGCUAAGAUCAAGUGUAGUAUCUGUUCUUAUCAGUUCAAUAUCUGAUACGCUCUCUAUCCGAGGACAAUAUAUUAAAUGGGUUUUUAGAGUUAGGAGUUGGAAUAGGAGCUUGCUCCGUUCACUCCACGCAUCAACCUGUUAUUACAGUACUUCCAGGAACGGUGCUUCCCCU